rnacentral:rRNA from 1 species
UACGUAGGGGGCAAGCGUUGUCCGGAAUCAUUGGGCGUAAAGAGCGUGUAGGCGGCCCGAUAAGUCCGCUGUGAAAGUCCAGGGCUCAACCCUGGGAUGCCGGUGGAUACUGUCGGGCUCGAGUCCGGAAGAGGAGUGUGGAAUUCCUGGUGUAGCGGUGAAAUGCGUAGAGAUCGGGAAGAACAUCGGUGGCGAAAGCGCUCUACUGGGCCAUAACUGACACUCAGGGACGAAAGCUAGGGGAGCGAAUGGG